rnacentral:rRNA from 1 species
CCCGUACACAAAAAUGCACAUGCUGUGAGCUCGAUGAGUAGGGCGGGACACGUGGUAUCCUGUCUGAAUAUGGGGGGACCAUCCUCCAAGGCUAAAUACUCCUGACUGACCGAUAGUGAACCAGUACCGUGAGGGAAAGGCGAAAAGAACCCCGGCGAGGGGAGUGAAAAAGAACCUGAAACCGUGUACGUACAAGCAGUGGGAGCACAGAGCAAUCUGUGUGACUGCGUACCUUUUGUAUAAUGGGUCAGCGACUUAUAUUCUGUAGCAAGGUUAACCGAAUAGGGGAGCCGAAGGGAAACCGAGUCUUAACUGGGCGUUAAGUUGCAGGGUAUAGACCCGAAACCCGGUGAUCUAGCCAUGGGCAGGUUGAAGGUUGGGUAACACUAACUGGAGGACCGAACCGACUAAUGUUGAAAAAUUAGCGGAUGACUUGUGGCUGGGGGUGAAAGGCCAAUCAAACCGGGAGAUAGCUGGUUCUCCCCGAAAGCUAUUUAGGUAGCGCCUCGUGAAUUCAUCUCCGGGGGUAGAGCACUGUUUCGGCAAGGGGGUCAUCCCGACUUACCAACCCGAUGCAAACUGCGAAUACCGGAGAAUGUUAUCACGGGAGACACACGGCGGGUGCUAACGUCCGUCGUGAAGAGGGAAACAACCCAGACCGCCAGCUAAGGUCCCAAAGUCAUGGUUAAGUGGGAAACGAUGUGGGAAGGCCCAGACAGCCAGGAUGUUGGCUUAGAAGCAGCCAUCAUUUAAAGAAAGCGUAAUAGCUCACUGGUCGAGUCGGCCUGCGCGGAAGAUGUAACGGGGCUAAACCAUGCACCGAAGCUGCGGCAGCGACGCUUAUGCGUUGUUGGGUA